rnacentral:rRNA from 1 species
GAUGAACGCUGGCGGCGUGCCUAAUACAUGCAAGUCGAGCGAACGGACGAGAAGCUCGCUUCUCUGAUGUUAGCGGCGGACGGGUGAGUAACACGUGGAUAACCUACCUCUAAGACUGGGAUAACUUCGGGAAACCGGAGCUAAUACUGGAUAAUAUUUUGAACCGCAUGGUUCAAAAGUGAAAGACGCUCUUGCUGUCACUUAUAGAUGGAUCCGCGCUGCAUUAGCUAGUUGGUAAGGUAACGGCUUACCAAGGCAACGAUGCAUAGCCGACCUGAGAGGGUGAUCAGCCACACUGGAACUGAGACACGGUCCAGACUCCUACGGGAGGCAGCAGUAGGGAAUCUUCCGCAAUGGACGAAAGCCUGACGGAGCAACGCCGCGUGAGUGAUGAAGGUCUUCGGAUCGUAAAACUCUGUUAUUAGGGAAGAAAAUAUGUGUAAGUAACUGUGCACAUCUUGACGGUACCUAAACAGAAAGCCACGGCUAACUACGUG